GCCACGGUGGUCUAGAGGUCAGAACACUGGGCUUGUAAUCCUGGGGUCCAGGGUUCGAUUCCCGGCGGUGCCC
rfam:Zootermopsis nevadensis contig18220, whole genome shotgun sequence.